rnacentral:rRNA from 1 species
AUUGAACGCUAGCGGGAUGCCUUACACAUGCAAGUCGAACGGAGUGGAGAACGGGUGAGUAAUGUAGCGGAACGUGCCCAGUAGCGGGGGAUAACUACGCGAAAGCGUAGCUAAUACCGCAUACUCUUGGAACGGUGGAAAUCGGAUUGGGUAGAUGGGGGGGUAACGGAUCACAAAGGCGACGAACCGGAGCUGGUUUGGGAGGACGACCAGCAAACCUGGGACUAAGACACGGUCCAGACUCCUACGGAAGGCAGCAGUGGGGAAUUUUGGACAAUGGGGGAAAGCCUGAUCCAUCCAUCCCGCGUGUGCGAUGAAGGCCUUCGUGUUGUAAAGCACUUUUGGCAGGAAAGCGGUACCUGCAGAAUAAGCACCGGCUAACUACGUGCCAGCAGCCGCGGUAAUAC